UAUGGUUAAAUCUCCGUUUACGAAAUAAGAAUCUAAUUUCCCAGUUUAUUGCAAUACCUUGAAAACAAUGAAAUAGGAAACGCUACAAUACUGUAUACCAUUCAAAAAGUAAGAGUAAUGUCAAUUAUCGAGCUAACGUCAUCAUUAAGACGUCAGCCAAUCCAUAAAGGAUCAAUAUAAAAGCAAACUGAGCAUACCUGAGAUUAAGUGGCAGUUAUUCUUGUAUCACUAUUUUCUUUUUAUUUAGAAUGAUUUUAUAUUUUAUAACAAAGAAAUUUAUCAUUUGUUCAGAAUGUUUUUUCAAAUAUAAACAAAUAAUUUGUGAACUAAGAACAAUUUCUACAUGAUUAUAAAGAUUAUAAAGAUCUAUAUCAUUCAUGUCAUGUCAUUUAAGACAAUCAAAUAUAUAUUGAAACUAUAUAUUGAAAAUAUCACUCUGGCGCGUGACAAACUUACGACGUCGUCAUCCUCGAUUUCUGGCAGACAAUCACUUGACGCAAAUCUAAUGCGUAAAUUUACUUCAAAGCUUACUUUAAAAUCGAUCCAUCGAUAUGUCGAACGAAUUGAUUUAUAGCGUCCCCGACUUUCUGUGUCAAAUUAUUGAUCAAAAAUAAACUAUCGAUUGAAACGAUGUCAAUUGAAGAAAGAUUGGAGAAGAAUUGCACGAUCGAACAUUUAUGACAUAUAAUAUAUGUAUAAUUAUUCCGCCAUUUGUCAAUGAAGCAUUGGUUUCAAAACUGGUUGCGGAAUAGGAUUUCAAAGCGAUUUCAAGUGGAAAUUCGAAAUACGAAUAAAAUUACACAUAUAAUCAAAGGAUAUUAUGUCGAAAUAUUUAACGUUUUCGAACAUUUAACCUAACCUAAUCUAAAUGCGGAAUUUGUCACUAUAGUCUUCGCGAAUAUCAAUCACAAAUAUGGCAAUAAUCCUCUCAUGAGUUUUCAGAUGAAUGUGUUUUUGCAAAUGUGUGAUAUAAAAAAUUCGUUUUUUUUUGUA